rnacentral:lncRNA from 1 species
GCCUUGCAAGGACUGUGUAGAAACAGCGUAUUAUUACAACCACACCACGCAGAAAUGCAAGAAGUAUUCAACUAGCGCCGAGGCAUGGGUUGCUCCUGAACAGGCUAAUUGCUUUGGAAAUCGCCAGGAGUGUAAAAGAUACUGCAGGGGAUUUACUGCCUCGCAAGAAAACAGCAACCAUUAAGCAAAGGAAAGCACGAGGACGUUUUGGAGGCCACCAAGAGAAGCAAAAGAAGGUCCC